rnacentral:rRNA from 1 species
CAAUAGCGUAUAUUAAAGUUGUUGCGGUUAAAAAGCUCGUAGUUGGAUUUCUGCCGAGGACGACCGGUCCGCCCUCUGGGUGAGCAUCUGGUUCGGCCUGGGCAUCUUUCUUGGAGAACGUUGCUGCACUUGACUGUGUGGAGCGGUAUCCAGGUACUUUUUACUUUGAGGAAAUUAGAGUGUUUCAAGCAGGCACACGCCUUGAAUACAUUAGCAUGGAAUAAUAAGAUAGGACCUCGGUUCUAUUUUGUUGGUUUCUAGAGCUGAGGUAAUGAUUAAUAGGGAUAGUUGGGGGCAUUCGUAUUUAACUGUCAGAGGUGAAAUUCUUGGAUUUGUUAAAGACGGACUUACUGCGAAAGCAUUUGCCAAGGAUGUUUUCAUUGAUCAAGUAACGAAAUUAGGGGAUCGAAGACGAUC